GUCAAAACUUUAGCACCGGAAGUCCCACAGGCAGCAUUGCGUGCACUGGAAAGAAAAGGGAAGAGAAAGGAACGAACAUUUGCAUUAAAUUUCCAAACAAAAACAGAUGACGAAGUAGGAAGACUUACUAAGAUUAGCCAACUGUAACCGCGCAAUAUUGUGUUCUCCCUAUUUGUUGUUAUAAAUGACAUUCUCUCGAGAAAGAAAUAGCUAAAUUACAUCCUUGCCGACCAUACUAAUGAGCUCUCCCUUUGCCGCUUCCAUCACUACUUUAAAGUCUAUCUGUUGAUACCUUCCCCUAAAAUCCAGCCAGGAAAUUUGAGAUCAUAUAAAUGAAAAGACAGUAUAAUCCACACAAUUUCAGCUUAUUUUUUAAUCUAUGAUCCAAUGAUCCCUACAAUACAUGCAUCAGUGUCGACCUCUGAGAGAGAUACCAUAUACAGAGCAGUCAACCAUACGAGUGGAUUCUUGAAAAAUGUCUCAUAUUUUACAACAUUUCUCGAUUUUAAAGAAUCAUUUAAACCCUCUAUUUCAUGCAAAGAUAAUAUCACUGCAUCACGUUUUUCAAG
rnacentral:lncRNA from 1 species